AAGAGGUUUUUACUACUGCGAGGGUCUGAGCUAUACAAUUUAUGACACCGUCUCCAUUCACGUGAGCCAUUACCAAGUGAAAUUCCUCACAGUUCACAUGGCCCAGAGUGCCUCCAUAUCGGACCACUAUAGUUUUUGGACAAUUGUAAAAUUAAAAGGACAGGAGUUACGUGGACCUAAAGGUAGCGCAGGACCCUAAGGCCUCAAAGAACAGGGAGGUGAUUGUGAGCAAUCUUAGAACCUAAGAGUCAUUCAUUGGUUAUUCAUUAGACACAGGGCAUGUCGAUCCUCGCUUCUCAGCAAAUGAGCUUGGAGCUCAUGGUGAGGGGGCGUGGCCCUCUGACCUCUGGCCCCGCCCCCGUCACCUGCCUAGCGGGCUCUUCGCGCCUUGUCCGCUUCGGUCUGAGGCGCCUCUCCUGACACUGCUGCCCUGCCCUUCGCCCCUGGGGCCUCCUCGGGCACCCCACAGACUGUUGUCCCCUCAGCAGCGCACUCCUCUGCCGCCCCGUCGGUCCGCCUCAGGCCGGGCCCCACUGCCCACAGCCUCCCCUCAGCGGCGGCCACCUCGGGGGCCACCAUCUUUGCUGUCGACGCCACAGCCUGAUCGCCACCCCAGUUGAGGUACCGCCUGGCGCCAUGUCUGCCGCAGGAGAAGGAGACCUGGCCGCAGGUGGCCUGAACAGGCCUGUGGGCGUGCCGGGGGCGUGGGCCCUGGCGGCCGGCUGGUCGGCGACUCGGGGCCCCACGGGGCGGCGAGAGUCACGGCGGCGGCGGCGGCGGGAGCCCUCGGGGAGGCGGCGGGGGAGCCGGGGGCCGGCGGCCCGGAGGGCGGGAGCGCCGAGGAGGACUCGGACAUCGAGCCGGCAGAGGAGGGCGAGGAGGCGGCGGCGGGCCGCCUGGCGGUGGACGCGGCGCAGUUCCCGCGGGCGAGCUUACGCCUCCUCUUCCUGGAGUUCGCGCAGUCGCUGCUGCGCCGCCUCUUCUACAAUAACCACGUGCUGCUGCGGCCAUGGCCUCUGGCUCACGACGGCUUGGCUCAGCGCCCCGCGCCCCGCGGGCCGGCGCCGCAAGAGCUGGCCGCCUGCGCCCUGCCGCCGGUCCAGGAGCCGGGGAAGGGGGCCGCGACCCAGGAGCCCGCGGAGGAGGCCGCCGCCCCGGAGGAAACAACUAAAUAUCGGUGUGAAAACUCGAAUGAAGAGGCCCACGACGCUGAAGACAAGGACGAAAAAGAGAAGUUUAACAAAAAACAAGAAGGACCCGAAAACGCUCUGGACCCCACAGACAGCACACCGAGAAAAUCCAGUUGGGAGGAAUAGAAAGAAGAUGGAGAAAGAAGAAAGAACCUGCUCUUCACCCUUUAGGUUUUUCGUUUUUUAGAAGCCCAAGGGAAUUUUAUCAACACUGAUUUCAUUCCAACUUCAUCACCCCAAAAGUGACAUCCACUGACAUCUGACUUUUCCCUUACAUUUUGCAGAUAUAUUUGACAGCAUUUCUUCUAGUUAAAAAAUUUGUUUUAAAUUAAUAAACUGAAAUGAAGGCAGAUUUUAUUUACAUAAAUAAUCCUGACAAAUCUUUUACCUCAUUUUUUUUUUUUUUGGCUUACUGUACCUUCAUUAAGACUUAUCACUUUCCACCAUUUGGUAAGCCUAUAUUUAUUAUUUUAUUGUAGCUCAAAAUAAGUUAAAAUGUCAAGUUUAAAAUAAUUUUGUGAAGAGAGAGAUGGAGGUCAAGCCUUUAAUGCUGCACUGUCCACUGUUAGUCACUAGCCACAUCUGGCUCCUGAGCACUUGAAAUAUGGCUAGUCUGAUUUGAGAUGUGCUACAGGUAUAAAAAAAAGUUACAUGUCUUACUAAUAAUUUUAUACUGAUUACAUGUUGAAGUGAUAAUAUAUUGAAUUAAAAUAUACUAUUAAAAUUAAUUUUGCCAGUUUCUUUUUACUUUUUUAAUGUGGCUACUAGAAAACAAAAUUACACAUGUGAUUGCGUUAUAUGUCUAUGAGGCAGCGCUGCUCUGGAGCAUGGUUUUGAAG
ensembl:lncRNA